AGGGUUCGAUUCUGGCUCAGAUUGAACGCUGGCGGCAGGCUUAACACAUGCAAGUCGAACGAUGAAAUCUAGCUUGCUAGAUGGAUUAGUGGCGAACGGGUGAGUAAUGCUUAGGAAUCUGCCUAUUAGUGGGGGAUAACUAUCCGAAAGGAUAGCUAAUACCGCAUACGUCCUACGGGAGAAAGGGGGCUUUUAGCUCUCGCUAAUAGAUGAGCCUAAGUCGGAUUAGCUGGUUGGUGGGGUAAAGGCCUACCAAGGCGACGAUCUGUAGCUGGUCUGAGAGGAUGAUCAGCCACACUGGGACUGAGACACGGCCCAGACUCCUACGGGAGGCAGCAGUGGGGAAUAUUGGACAAUGGGCGAAAGCCUGAUCCAGCCAUGCCGCGUGUGUGAAGAAGGCCUUUUGGUUGUAAAGCACUUUAAGUGGGGAGGAAAAGCUUGUGGUUAAUACCCAUAAGCCCUGACGUUACCCACAGAAUAAGCACCGGCUAACUCUGUGCCAGCCGCUGC
rnacentral:rRNA from 1 species